UUCGCAUCGUCAUACCUCCCUGUUGGACUUCGGCCGAGCUUUGUGCUCGGCCUUUUUU
rfam:Sagittula stellata E-37 1101159001457, whole genome shotgun sequence.